rnacentral:rRNA from 1 species
CCUACGGGAGGCAGCAGUGGGGAAUAUUGGACAAUGGGGGCAACCCUGAUCCAGCCAUGCCGCGUGUGUGAAGAAGGCCCUCGGGUUGUAAAGCACUUUCAGUGAGGAAGAACGCCUGGUGGUUAAUACCCAUCAGGAAAGACAUCACUCACAGAAGAAGCACCGGCUAACUCCGUGCCAGCAGCCGCGGUAAUACGGAGGGUGCGAGCGUUAAUCGGAAUUACUGGGCGUAAAGCGCGCGUAGGUGGCUUGAUAAGCCGGUUGUGAAAGCCCCGGGCUCAACCUGGGAACGGCAUCCGGAACUGUCAAGCUAGAGUGCAGGAGAGGGAGGUAGAAUUCCCGGUGUAGCGGUGAAAUGCGUGGAGAUCGGGAGGAAUACCAGUGGCGAAGGCGGCCUUCUGGACCGACACUGACACUGAGGUGCGAAAGCGUGGGUAGCAAACAGGAUUAGAUACCCUAGUAGUC